rnacentral:rRNA from 1 species
UGAAAAUGGAUUGUGCGCAUUGUAGACAUGCACACCUAUACCCAACCGCUGGUGUGACAGAACAGGCAAAUGUGAGUUGCAGAUGCCAGGGCCUACAGGCCCCAGCGAGUAGGAGGGGCGCGGUGGUGUGCGCAGAAGGGAUUGGGCGUGAGCCUGCCUGGAGCCGCCAUCGGUGCAGAUCUUGGUGGUAGUAGCAAAUACUCGAGCGAUAUCCUGGAGAUCUGAUGUGGAGAAGGGUUCCAUGUGAACAGCUUUUGCACAUGGGUCAGUCUGUCCUAAGCUGCAGGAGAAAUCCGGGUUCUGGCGAAAUCGGUGCUCCCGAAAAACCAAAAUUAAAUUUUGAAAUAAUGGGUGUCACUGCCAAACCUAAGCAAGAGGGAAUCCGGUACUGAUUCCGGAACCUGGUCACGGAUAACCUCUCUUCGGAGAGGGUCGUUGGGGUCCUCGUGAUCUACACCGUAAGGUAGCUAAACUCGGGGAAGUUCGGCCGCUGUCCCGGGCAGAGUUUUCUGUUCUGUAUUAAGGGCCCGGAUCCCUGGAAUCGCCUCGCGCGGAGAGAGGGAACUGGUUUCAUUUUAGCCCGAAGAGCCCCGCAGUUCUUGCGGGGUCCGAUUGGAUGGCGGUCGAACCCUUGAAAACACCCGAGGGAGGGCGUACAACUUUCGUGCCAGUCUGUACCGCAUAUCCGCAGCAGGUCUCCGAGGUGAACAGCCUCUAGU